CCACCGCCUGCUCGCGGACCUCCACCACAGGAUUCUCCGGGGCCACUGCCGCGGGGCAAGAGGGGCAGUGGGUCAAGAGCGGCCCCGAGGACACAGGAGUCCAGUCCCCAGCACUCACCACGGGUGCCAUUGAAGAACAGGGUCUGCCUUGCUGGGUUCUGGAUGACAACGAUGGAUCCAUCGUACUGGUGUAGACGGCAGGUGAUCUCAGCCACCCCACCCUCA